UUCGGGCUGCCCAUUGGAGACGCUACAUGCUGAGCAGCAAAAUGGCCGCCCGUCAACCGACUGACUCCACAGCGCUUUGAAAUUUAAAUUCUUCUGCACAUCAGCGUUUAGACUUGGAACAUUAGUACUUAUUUGCAAACCGGUAGCGUAUUAUUUCUUGGUGUUUUCAUCAUUUUCCACCUACUUGACUCUCCGCUCAGGCGUCCAAGUCCUUGUAGCCUCGACGAAUGCCUGAAAAAGAGAAAGCUCGCACUGAAGCACUUUAGCUAAGCUAGCUAGCAGGCUAGCCAACCUUCAUAUGUGAUUCCUGAGAAGGGAGAAUCUGGUCGGGAGCAGCAGUUCAUGGAAGACAA